rnacentral:rRNA from 1 species
GCCCAGGCGACUUACCAGCGGUGUGUGCAAAAUUGCCUUCACAAUCAGAUUGGGCGUAAUGUUCAUGCUUAUGUAGAUGACAUUGUCGUGAAAUCCAGGAACAAGGAGACCUUGCUUGAUGAUUUGAAGGAGACAUUUGACAAUCUCCCGGUCUACAAGAUGAUGCUUAACCCGCCCAAGUGUGUUUUUGGUGUACCAGCAGGCAAGCUCUUGGGCUUUCUGGUUUCUAACAGAGGUAUUGAAGCUAACCCGGAGAAGAUCAAAGCCAUUACUUCGUUGGCUAAACUGGCGUGUGUUAAUGAUGUUCAGCGUCUGGCGGGUCGUAUUGCGGCCCUAAGCCGGUUCAUAAGCCGGUUAGGUGAGAAGGCUAUUCCUCUUUAUCAGAUGAUGAAGAAGACAGAUCAUUUUGUUUGGAGUGAUGCUGCUAAU